AGAGUUUGAUCCUGGCUCAGAAUCAACGCUGGCGGCGUGCUACACAUGCAAGUCGACGAGAAAGUGGGAGCAAUCCUGCGAGUACAGUGGCAGACGGGUGAGUAACACGUGAACAAUCUACCCUCGAGUGGGGAAUAACACCGCGAAAGCGGUGCUAAUACCGCAUAACAUCCCCGGGGCGCAUGUCCUGGUGAUCAAAGGCGAAAGUCGCUUGAGGAGGAGUUCGCGCCUGAUUAGCUAGUUGGUGAGGUAACGGCCCACCAAGGCGACGAUCAGUAGCCGGCCUGAGAGGGCGAACGGCCACACUGGAACUGAGACACGGUCCAGACUCCUACGGGAGGCAGCAGUGGGGAAUUUUGCGCAAUGGGCGAAAGCCUGACGCAGCAACGCCGCGUGGAGGAUGAAGGCCUUCGGGUCGUAAACUCCUGUCAGGGGGGACGAACACAAUGACUGUACCCCCUGAGGAAGCCACGGCUAACUCCGUGCCAGCAGCCGCGGUAAUACGGAGGUGGCAAGCGUUGUUCGGAAUUACUGGGCGUAAAGGGCGCGUAGGCGGCUUUGCAAGUCAGAUGUGAAAGCCCCGGGCUUAACUCGGGAAUUGCAUCUGAAACUGCUUUGCUUGAGUCCUGGAGGGGGUAGUGGAAUUCCCAGUGUAGCGGUGAAAUGCGUAGAUAUUGGGAGGAACACCUGUGGCGAAGGCGGCUACCUGGACAGUGACUGACGCUGAUGCGCGAAAGCUAGGGGAGCAAACGGGAUUAGAUACCCCGGUAGUCCUAGCCGUAAACGAUGGGCACUUGGUGUCGGGGGUAUUGAGUCCCCCGGUGCCGGAGUUAACACGUUAAGUGCCCCGCCUGGGGAGUACGGUCGCAAGACUGAAACUCAAAGGAAUUGACGG
rnacentral:rRNA from 1 species